CAGGGCUGCUCCACAGCAAGAUGUGAGACCAGUGUGGCAGAGUAUGAUGUGUACACAAUGAGGGACACACUGUAGCCAACCCAGUAGAUUACCCGUGCUGCAGUGCUGAUUGGGUCCUCACCUUGUUGUAGGAGAGCUGACAACAUGUACCAGCCAGCAGCAACUCCCAUGCUAACAGGCUUCUCCCCCGUGGGUAUGUAGCACCUCUGGAGUCGCUCGAUGAAGAAGAGGAUGCUGGCGAGGCCUGUCGUGUUAGCCGGGAUGCGCCGGUACAGAGCUGUGUCCGUUGGGGUUGUGUAGGCAAGCAUCUUCUUGGCAAGGUCCCUCGUAGGUGGCCGCAAACAGUUUACGGCUGUGGGAUGAGAACUUGUCUUGUGAAUGUGACGUUGGGAGGAGGGAAGCACAGGGGAAGAGGAGGACGAGGAGGAAGAGAGUUAAGAGUCACAAGAGGAGGAGGAAGGUGGAAAGAAAGAGGAAGGAGAGGAGGAGGAGGAGGAGGAGGAAGAUGGAGAAGGAAAGGAGAAAGAUAAGAAGGAAGGAAAUGCCGCAGAAGGAGAAGAGCAAUAAGAAAUUAGAAUUGACAGAGAAACCAGACAAGGGACUGCAUUUGAAGAAGCACAAGAACCAAGAAAUUACAUCAUUCAAUGAAAUGACAACAUAAUCUAAAGUACAGAUACCAAGGGGAAAUUGCUGGGUCAAGUGGCUACACUGACAUCUGAGGUUAGCAGGUUGGAGAGUGAGUGCAGCAGUCUUCAGGUUCAGCUAGACUGUGAGAGGGAUAAGUAUAACAAACUGCUGGGAGAAUCUCUUGCUCAUGAAAAGUUGUCUGAAGAUGUCAUAACUGAACCAAAAGGAGAAACAACAGGAUUGGGAGGAACUGAGCUUUAACAGAAGCUGCAACAACUGCAGGAGGCUCACAGGGUCCUGGAGAGCAGGUUAACUUGCAGCAUGAAGGAGGUGGCUGAGCUAAGUGACAGGAAGUAGCAGCUUAAGCAUGCUGUAGUGCAUGAGGAGACAGAGUCCAUCGGUGUGACUACAUCACCAUCUACCAGUUGCAGCGAGGAGUGAUGAAGCAACAAGCUCGAGAACGCGAGUUAGACCUUGCCAGCCUCCAUCAUGAAUGAGAGGAAAUGAAGCAAAACCACUCUGCAGGAUUUGAUAUCAAAGCUGGUGCAGGAAAAGGAAGCAGAUCAUGACCUUCAGCAGCUCGAGAAGAUAAGCAGCGUCCUUUAAGAGUCCAGUUGCUAUCUUUAGCAGUGUUGGAACCAGUGAGUCUGAGACACCCACCAGCAGUGGAAAGGUGGCUGACGAGCACCUCAAGCACUCUGAAAAGGUGGAGCAACAACAAGAAACAGAAAAUUGCAUCCAUCAUUCUUUGCCUGAGGAGGGAAUUGAUGCUCUGUUGACCCUUCACACUGAUGUCCCUCAUGAGGAGGCAGAAUAUGAAUCCUACAGAACUUGCCCAUAGAAAGACCAAAACUGUUACUGCUGCCACACUGCCACCACUUCCACUGACACCAAAAGCCCAACUGUGCAGAGAAUCCUGGACCUCCGCAAUGAAAUGGAGUCCACCAGUCACCUGGAGCACUUUAGCCUCCAAAAGUUCCAUCCGUGUCCAUUGUGUUUGGGUAAACUUAUCACUGUAUAAGGGGACAAGUAUCAGUGUAUGGUUACUAUAUACUCAUUUGUACUUAAAGAUGUCAUGUCACAUCAUUCUCUCUCUCUCUCUCUCUCUCUCUCUCUCUCUCUCUCUCUCUCUCUCUCUCUCUCUCUCUCUCUCUCUCUCUCUCUCUCUCUCUCUCUCUCU